UUGAAAGGGAAACGAUUGAAGUCAGUCGUACCGACGAAGAAUCAACUUUUGGAGUGCGAAUCGAGGUAUUCGAGGAGUUUAAAAGCCCUUGUGUGUUUCGUAUUCGUGCUUCUUGGGUGCUUUUCUUCGUAUGGUAGGUUAACAUCAAUUUUGGACGUUACAAAAUGAUCGGGGGAAUGUAGCUUCGAUUUUUUGAAGUGUUAUAGCCUUUGGUAGAUGUGAUGUUUGAGACCGAGGAUUGCAACGGAUACCCUUCAGGGCUAUUCGUCUGAUCUCUGAUACGUUGCCUUGAUGUUGAAAGCUCGCUUAUGAUGUUAGGGUAUUACGGUCAAAAGGUUAGAACGAAUUACAUUCGUUAAGGAUGUUGACGUA
rnacentral:rRNA from 1 species